AUGCAUUUCCCCUUUUCUCGGACACCUCGCUUAUCGCCUGCCAAUUAGCGGAAUUCGUCCGAGCCACUUUCCGCUUAUCAGUUGGCCAAAACAAGCGGGGUGGGCAUAGUUCCCGGAAGGGCAUAUGUGCAAAAAUGGUAAACACUACUCAACAUUAGCGCCAAGAUAAGAGCGGAUCGUGUUCUAAACAUCUUCUCACACUUGAAAACAAUGACUCACGCAAGGGGGUUGUUCAUCCCUUCGUGAAUAAACCAGCAGAAUGGCAUGAAUUGUGCCAUUUAUUAGUUGCCUGGUGUUCUCUUCGUGCACAACAUCUAAUUGGUUGACAUUAGAGCUUAUAAUUUCCGAAAUUCGCUCAUAAUCUCUGGGCUGUGCGCUUCAUUAAUUGCGAAUUAGAGUUGCUCCCAUGCCGCCCACCAAAAAGCCUCAUGACUUAUGCACCUGAUGCUCCUCGUCUGUGUGCAUGUGAUUAUGACUUUGGGGGAGUGAAUGUAGAAUGUAUAGUCCACCCACCCAUUAGUUCUGGCAGGCGGGGCAAAACAGGACGGGGGGACUCGUCAAAGUGAGUCCAACGUUUAUCCACAGGACCAAGUGCUCAGACCCCAGAGUGCGAAUCAAGUUCGGUGGGGGAUCAGGAGCAAAAGGACCCAGCUGUCCAGAGGGGGGCAGUGAUUGUUUGGCCAGGGGCUCCGCUCCUCAACUUGAUUCAUGGCCCUCUGUUUGCAGAGCUACUCGCAGGAGAUUCGAAUUCCAUUCGAGCUCGGACCAAGUUUGCAGCACUUUUCCGCACUCAAUGGGUUGAAUGAAAUCUGGAAAUUCAGGAAAAAAUGGGACAAUUCUGCGUAAUAAUAUUAAUAAUCAUGCGCCUCGCUGGGCACAUUUAUCUUGCCGCAAUUGUGAUGAGUUUCUGGGCUCCGAAGAUAUCUCUUCCGCUUUCAUGACAAACAAAUGUAGCAAAUAUUUGCCAACCAAUGGACCGGAAAUAGUUCCAUUCAACAUUUUCUUUUUGCUUUGUUUUCAUGUUUACGCCCUUUUUUUACAAUUUUUUGCAAUGCUCGAACUGAAUUGCAAAUUUGGAGACAUGGGAAAAAUACAAAUGGCUGGGAGUUUCGCAACAGAAAAUAGUUCCAAUUUUCCUGUAGUUAAACUUGCCUCCACUUAAGCUUAAUCGGCGAUUUCAGUGGAUAAAAUAGUUGGCAGUGCCGGUACAAAAUUCAAUUCAAUUCGGCAGUCAGCAGCUCAAAUGAAGCAAAUAAACUGUAUGCAGUGUGCAAACUUUUGGCCAAAGGUGAAGUUCAGCUCAGAUGGCUUACAAACGACCCCUUUUGGCCGGAAAAUGGGAUGGCUGCUGCACACACGUUUCAUGUGAGCAUAUGAGCGCUUUUCCUCGACUAUCUGCUCGCAAUUUAAUUGCGGUUUCCUGACCUUGAUUGCCGUUUAAUUAAUGCUGGCGGCCAAUAAAUUGUCAUAACCAAAGCAAACCGCAGAUCCACUUUUUAGCCCGAUUCCGCAGGCGAGUGACACACGAGAACCGCACGUCAGCAAGACAUGGCCACAAAGUUGCUCGCAUCUGGCCAACCAUUUUCAUUACCCCUCGAUAAUUUGCUCAAUUAAAGUCGAACUCGAAGACUUUGCGGCAUUUGCGAGAAUCGCUUUAUUGCUGCACUUAGAAACGCUCCCCAAUUUGUGGCGACACUUGCUCCAUACUCCACUUCCGUUCAUAUACAUAUACAAUGCAUACAUAUGCCGACAGACAGACAGCUAAUUUAGUUAGCUGAUAAAACUAAACUAAACUGAGCCGAUCAUCUUGGCGAAGGACGAGGGUAGGGGGGUCGGGGGGCUGUGGAGCGAAAGUUGAACAGCUAACUUACUUCGAUAAACAGGCUUAAUUAGCGACCAAAGCUGAAAGCCAACAAACUGCCAACUGGAGCUGGCACUAGGCGCAUUAUUUCCCAUUUCCCAGGGCCCAGCGCACACACACACACACAGAUACACACUCAUCCCCUGCCUGCCACGCACACAAACACACUUAAAGCCACUGGCAGCAGGACUAAAAACACAAUCAAAUAUUAGACAGUGGCUGGCACUCGAAUUGUGGCACAACUAAACAGUGGAGCAGUGCGAUGGAGUUUGUAAAAUAAAAACCAUAGAAAGCCAUUCUAAAAGUAAGUACAUUUUAAGCAGUGAAAUAUAUUGCUCAUACGCAACGUUGUACGCAAUUUCAGUUCUGUAUGUAAGCUUUAAAGAUGAGAUACAUUAUUAAUUCAAUUACAUUUUCACUUGGCGAGUUCAAUUAAUAAUGUAUAUAAAAGCCAUUUAAAAUGAAAACAUAAUAUUUUGUUGUAUCUGCAAUUCACUUAACCCACUGUAGACUUGCGUUCGUUGAAGGGCUUUGUCGACUGUCCGGCUUAAUUAUGUGCAAGCAACAAUGAUAUUUAUAUUAUCAGCCAGUCAAUGUCAAACGUCAGCACCACCCACUGACCAGCAGAUGAAGUCCUUGGUCCUUCGAGCCCGAUACCCAACCUCCGGCGAGCACACAGCAUUACCAUUAAGUCCGAAGGAAGACAAAGACGCCGGCCAAGGUACCAGCAUUCGUUUUGGGGCUGAGUCGGGGUCUUUGUGGGCCUGUUAAUAGCUCCUCCAUGUGCACCGCUCCGAUUCGCCAUAACCCGAAAUUAUAUCCCCGCACACAUGGCUCCCCAGGGGCAGGGCAUGAAAGCGAGUUGAAAUGCUGGCCGGUCCAGAGUUAAAUGCAGAUUCAUGGCUGCCCAGUCAGCAGACAAAUGAUGUGAACGCGAACUCGAAAUUUCAAGGGGCUCAGGACGCCGGCGAAUGUCCCUGGGCGCCCAAAACUUAAAGCCCAUCGUUUUAAUUCGUUCCGAACCUGUUGCCGGCAAUUCCAUUUUUAUUUUCGUCCUCGAUUUUUUACCCGUGUUUUUGUUUUGUCGCAGAGCACUCUCGAUUCGCAUCGCAUCGAAUCGGAAUCCGAAUCGGGGUAAAACAAAAGCUUUGUCCGAGGACAGGACUCCGAGGGCGCAGGACAUCCAGAUGGGCGAAUAGAAGGCACAAUGGCCCAACGGCGCAAACACAAUCCAAAGUGUUGGCAUCGCACAACAGCAGGAAAAUGGCUCACUCUCGUGUGACAGUGACGUCUCACAAUUCGUAUGACAGCACAUCGAGUGGCAGGGAAAUGAUAUGAAGGGGCAUGUGGACAAAGGAUGCCGAAGUUAUCUCAAUUAUGUUCGACAUUCAGUCGAUACCCUGCCAAAAGGAUAUGAGUAAUAGGAUAACCGCAAACGGCGAUGAUCCGCAGACAAGCCUGCACAUCAAGCUGCCAUCCUGCUGUUUUCAGGGUAGCAAGGCGAGAAUAUGGAAAAACCAAGCCGAGCUGGAGUUUGUCUAGACAAAUUGUGUCCUUAAGCCCGCCCAAAGGGGGAUCCUCCCCCUUCCAGGGGGGAGCCUACAUCUGUGUGCGUGGCGUGGGCUUAUCUCGUUAAUGGCUGCCAUAUUUGCUCAGCCUCCGUUUUCGCUGCGGCCCAGCUACCUGAAACUCCAAAUUGGCAACAUGAGUUGGCAACAACACCAUCUGCGUGGGCGAAAAGUAAUUUGUAGGCAAAUUAUGAUAAAUAGAUUCGUGUCUAACCCGCGACCAGGCAACCCAACUCAAUUUGGGCUUACACAAAACAGGAACUCCAUUUGCUAAAUUGUUUCACAUUGUUCUCAAGAAAAUCCUUGAAAUCCUGCAGCGAAAUACGCUUCUUCGAUUUGGAUUUCGGAUUUCUUGGCAAUUUAUGACCCAACAAUUGCACUCUUGUGGCACUUAUUGAAUUAGGUGACAUUCAAAUGCUUUUUUAUGCCCCGACAUAAAUAACUCUGUGGGAACUUUGCGUUUUUUCGGGGUAAUACGUUUAGAGACCCAAGGCAUUGGCUGGGCAGCUCAAUUAAAAUGACACUAAAUUGCAUUUGGAUUGCCAUGUCGUGCCUUGGUCUGAGCCACAGCCCACUCCUUGCCAGGUUGCCCUCCUUUUCCCCGGCUGAGAUUGCCUUUUUGCGCAGACUGCACUGGAAAUAAAUCAAUGGAUAUGCCUAAAAUAAAAGUCGACACUUCUUGAUUGCAUAUGGGAGUUCGCUUUAUUAACUGGCCAAUCUUAUAAGUUACACAUACACUAUAGCUACAGAAACCUAAGAUUUUCGCUCAGUGUGCCUGAGCUUGAGCUGCAGCAUCUGUCUAUGCACUCGGGAUUUGAGCUCGGGACGUGGACGAGGACACUCCACUCAAGCGACUUGCCCGCAGCGCCGUCAUCUUGAGCACUGAAGCCCCGAAGGCCCCGGAUCCCCGGUUACCCACCCAGCUGCCCCAUCCUUCGGCCUCGUCCUGGCAUCCACAUCCUGCGUGUCUGUGCAUUCGCCGCUGUGGUAUUUUCCAUGUCGCUGCAUUGCUUUCAGCAUCUGGCUGGCGACCAACUUUGCAGGCAGCCCGACAUCUUGGCAUUUAAGGAAUCUCCAGGAGCAAAUUCGCCUUGUCUGUUGCCUUUAAGGCUGCCUGCAGUCCUGUAGUCCUGCAGUCGUGCGAUUGAAAUGCCGAUUGUAUGCUAACUGGAUUAAUUGUCCAUGUGGCAAACACCCCUUCUCCUUCGGCAUGUACUUAAAACAUAAUGCCAAAUCGAAACGGAAUUUAAUUUGCCGCACUUAACGCCGCGCGGAGGGAAAACAAACACAUUUCCGCCGAAAAAGCUCUUUGAUUUCGAGCGCUGAAAAUUGGAUUUCGAGCUAUCUUGAUCCGCAUUUGCUAGCAAAAUAUGCGAUAAUGCGAAUAAUGUUGUGGGAAAAUCAAUUUGUUAUGACGCCGCUUGAGUUGAGCGGGCGAAUAGAAGGAAUGCGCCUACACGCUCUUGGAAAUAACAUAAACAUUUUAAACAUGAAAAGAAAGCAAAAGCAUUGUAUCUAGUUACAAACAUUUUAGGCUGGAAUAAGUGCUGAAUUGUCAAAACGAUAUGUUAUAAUUAUAAGAAUUCUCCCUUUAGAAAUUCGGUUAGUUGUCACUUAAAUGGCGAUUAAUUAAAACUUAAAGCGCUAAGAAUUUAUUACUCGCCACUCGAAUUUAAUUUGCUUGUUCUGUCUGUUCUGUGUACCAGGACGAGUGCACAAAUGCCGCUGCAGGUCAGUGGAAGUUCAGCUGGAUCCCUAACAAUGCCAACUAGUUGCCACUCACACAGAUACUCGCACACAUGCACACCAGCACGGCGCCAUAAAGUAUGCAUCAGAAAAGCGUGAACGUACUGAGCCCCGAGCGAGGCGCUUGAUAAAUAUUCAAAAUUCGAUGGCAACGGAUAUGCUGGAUGGGGGAUGUAUGGUACGUAUGGGAGGAUGCAGGAUGGGGGAUGGAGGAGGGAGGAUGAAGGAUGCUGGAUGGAGAGGCUGGGCUGUGCACUGGGCAGGACGAAGGAACAAAGGGGUGUACGGGCGCACACCUCACACAGUCGCACAAACGUUCUUCGUUUGCAUACUUGAUUUGCGUGUGAGUGUGUGUGGCAGCAAUUUAUGUGGCAUUGAGAACUUUGGUAGAUUUGACAUUCUAACGCUCGUCGACAAAAUAUACGCAAAUCUAUGUAUGCAUGGGGGGCUCGUAAAUAUGCCAGCAUGACGUGUAAUUCGAUUUAUAUGCAUGCUCCAUAUAAAAAUAUGACCCCACCGCCCCUCUGUCCACCCUCCAAAUCGGCCAUCGAUGCCUAGUUGCAUGUCCAUAGGCGGAAUUAAAAGCAAAUAUAAAUCUGCAUAUAUGAGGCGGGAUCAAAUUGUUAGCUAUUAGUAAGUCUGCGGCUCAAAAAUGGGUAUUUGGGGCAUACCAAAUGGUGCGAUUAUGGAUUUGAUCCAUUGAAAGGUGUUUGCUUACUUAACAAAGUACAAAAACAUAAGUGCCACAAGUGGAAGUGUUCCUUUCUUUAACACCUUAAUUAACUUAAUUUUUAAAUUCAUAGUGAAGGAGUCCAUUGGUGCUCAAUGAUAUAACUUUAGGCACUCGAGUGAAAGGCGAGUGAAAGUUGAAGAGGGGCAGCAAUCAAAGUCAGGGAAUGCUAAUGGCUAGUGUUGCACAUGAAGCUAUUAGACGGCAUGACAGGCCCAUCUCCGACUGAAGUGAGCAAUUUGCUCGGACAACAGGCUGCUCGGUUAACCCAACUGCACACAGACCAGGAUUGUGUGGCCCCGCCCGCAGGUUGUCUUCGAGAUUCGUACAUAUAUAUACGUACGUAUAUAUUUGAGUAUAAAGCUGCUGCUCUUGUCUCACCUUGAUUACAUUGAUGCAUUUCCACAUCAUUAAGCCGUCUAAACACCAUUAGCAGCAGCCCAGAUUUUGAGGUGCGUAUGUUGUGCGUGUGUGGAUGUAAGUCACGGAUUUAUCUGCCAGGCAUCCCUACACACACACACACACGCAUCGCUUCCGGCUGAGUGCACCCACACAGAUACAGAUACGAGCCAGCGCCAACUCAUUUGCCACUCCCUAAUGGCGAAUCAAUGGGCUGACUGCGCCACAGCCCACGUCCCAGUGUUCCAGUGUUCCAGGAAGUCCAGCUGCCCACGACUACGACUUCUACUAUGGGUAUGGCUAUAUAGGAGCCGCAAACGGAACCAUCCGGCUGAUGACACUUGAAUGAGUUUCGGCGUCUUUUGUCGCCGGCAUCUCACGCUAAAUUGCACAUAUUAUUUAUACAUAAGGACUCAACUGACCAUAAGUUAUGUAUAUUAGCUAAUCGUUAAGGUUGCUUCCGCUGCUUUAUGAACUUGCCAGCCAACUGACGACCACAUUUACCCAUUCGAUUUGGCCUUCCGAUGGGCCAUCAAUUCCGGAGUGAGUGAGUUUUGGAUUAUGGAUUCAGUUUUUUGCUUGGGCAGCCCGGUGGCGUGUAUUGAUUUUAUAUCAAUUAGUCUGUCAUACGAUUCGAAUGUGCGCAUUUCGGGAUUUUAUUUUAGAAAAGCCACUCCUUGCUAAAUCUCUUUGUAUAUUGGAUUACAUUUCUGUUUGAGCAUUCCCAGAUCGAGAGUCUAAACAAAUCAUUUCUUAAUUAAACUCCUCCUGGAACAGCUCUCCAUGAAGUCAGAGUACUAGCAGCUCCCCAAAAUCCAAAACGCACGUUCAUCCAAGAGCCCCCAAGUGACGCACAAGGGUUGAUAAAAAUAGCAGGUCACGCUUCUGGGGGGCAAACUUAAUGCGAAGGCAUUAGGAGCCGGUGGAGCCAAUACAAUUGUAACCCUUGGCAUUGUUAUGGGGGCAUUAAAUUCCAAUUACACGUUAAGAUGCCGCGUUAAUGGCCAAGUUAAUGCACUUGCACUGCCGUUGGCCCGUUGAUUCGCCACUGGGGGGGCGUGGCGCUCCCGAAAUGACAAAGCAGCCGAAAUACAUUAUUACAUUUACAUUUAUUAUAGGCAUGCAGUAUAAAAUGCUUUGUACAUGAAUUGGUGUUUGUGUUAAUGUCUUAUGGGUGAGUGUUUCGUGAGUGUUUUGUGAGUGUUUCGUGAGUGCUGCUCCCUGUGUGUUGCGGGUUAAUCUUAUGAUUGGUAAGUCAGAUGGGCUUAGAGCGAAACGAGUGUAUAAA